GGCGCUAUAGUGUAGCGGGUAUCACUCGAGAUUUUGAUACACAGUGGUAUUUCUCGAAACGCAGGUUAGAGCCCUGGUAACGCCU